AUGGCGGUGUGCGCUCGCCUCUGCGGCGUGGGCCCGUCGCGGGGAUGCCGGCGCCGCCAGCAGCGCCGGGGCCCGGCCGAGACCGCAGCGGCCGACAGCGAACCGGACACGGACCCCGAGGAGGAGCUCAUCGAGGCGGGCUCGGCGGCGCUGUCCGGGGCGGGGGACGACCGGAGCGCGGGCCCCUCGUCGCCCCCGCGAUGCUCGCUGCUGGAGCUGCCGCCCGAGCUGCUGGUGGAGAUCUUCGCGUCGCUGCCCGGCACCGACCUGCCCAGCCUGGCCCAGGUCUGCACCAAGUUCCGACGCAUUCUGCACACUGACACCAUCUGGAGGCGGCGCUGCCGGGAGGAGUAUGGCGUUUGUGAGAACUUGCGGAAGCUGGAGAUCACGGGCGUGUCUUGUCGAGAUGUCUAUGCCAAGCGUAUAAACCCACGCGUGAAGUCGGGACGUUUCAUGAGAAUUCUGCCCGAUUACGAGCACAUGGAGUACAGAGACGUGUACACUUGCCUGCUUCACCGAUACAGACACAUCCUGGGCUUGUGGCAGCCAGAUAUCGGGCCGUACGGAGGACUGCUGAACGUGGUGGUGGAUGGCUUGUUCAUCAUUGGCUGGAUGUACCUGCCUCCCCACGACCCUCACGUGGACGACCCAAUGCGGUUCAAGCCCCUGUUCCGAAUCCAUCUGAUGGAGAGGAAGUCGGCCACGGUGGAGUGCAUGUACGGCCACAGAGGGCCCCACAACGGCCACGUCCAGAUCGUGAAGAAGGACGAGUUCUCCACCAAGUGCAACCAGACGGACCACCACAGGAUGUCUGGCGGGCGGCAGGAGGAAUUCCGCACAUGGCUGAGGGAGGAGUGGGGCCGGACGCUGGAGGACAUUUUCCACGAGCACAUGCAGGAGCUCAUCCUGAUGAAGUUCAUCUACACCAGUCAGUACGACAACUGCCUGACCUACCGCCGCAUCUACCUCCCGCCCAGCCGCCCGGAUGACCUCAUCAGGCCGGGCCUCUUCAAGGGCACCUACGGCAGCCACGGCCUGGAGAUCGUCAUGCUCAGCUUCCACGGGAAGCAUGCCCGGGGCACGAAGAUCACGGGCGACCCCAACAUCCCUGCUGGGCAGCAGACGGUGGAGAUUGACCUCAGGCACCGCAUCCAGCUGCCUGAUGCUGAGAGCCUGCAUGACUUCAACGAGCUCUCCCGAGUCGUCCUGGAGGUGCGCGAGCAGGUGCGCCAGGAGCAGGAGAAGGAGCAGGAAGGCGGGCCCGAGGAUGCCGAGGGUCUCGGCCGGCAGAGCCCCCAGCCCUGCGAGGAGCCACCCGCCGAGCCGGCCCAGGCACCUGGGGAUGGAGGGGCUGCGGCCGCGGCUGAGCCACCUGCCCAGUCGGGGCAGGGGCAGCCGUUUGUGCUGCCAGUGGGCGUGAGCUCGAGGAAUGAGGACUAUCCCCGGACCUGCAGGAUGUGCAGACUGCAGGAGCUCACAGUGAAGGAGGGAGGAGGCCAAGACGCUGCUGUCACAGCCGCCGAAGAGAGAAGUCUAGCUGUCCCGGUUGGUGAGGUGAAGCCUGUGGGCCCACAGGAAAAGGGUAAGGUUGGGGGCAGCAGAGUUGACAGCAGGCUGGUCACCAGUGGGAACCUGUCACAUCAUGCAGGGCCCCCAUCUAGGUGAAAAAGCGAGUCCUGUAUUCAGGGCUGUGACGGUGGUGGCGCCUGGUGUAACCUUGACCUGAACCACUGUGCAGCUUGGCUUCAACCUCAGAAAGACCCCAAAGUCACGGGACAUGAGAACUUAAAAAUUACAGUUCUUGCUUAGACUAUUUGAAAAUCAUGAUUUCACUUAACCUACAGGAUUUAGGUUUGUGAAAACUGUCACAGAUCAUUUAGGCAAGAUGAUCUUGAAAUAACAAGCCAAACUCAAAAUCAAACCACAACUUUUUGGUUCUUUUCUGGGUUACUAGCAAUACAUGCUUUUUUAGGAAUGUUCUCAAAGAUACAGAUAUCUGUUUUCACACGGAUACGUGUGAAGGAGUGAGAAGUGGCUGUCCUCCAGCUGCUGGCUGGGCUGGCACUGUGUGUGUUUUUGUUGAUGUCUUCUGGUGGACAUAAGCUCUAUUAUCUUGGGUGAUUACCUUGGGUGGGGAAUUGCUUAGUCACAGGAUAUUCACAUGUUUAGACAUUGUAAAUACUGCCAGUUUGGCUAUAUGGUUUUAUCUGGUGUGUAAGGUGUGAGGGUUCCAGCUGCCACACCCUCUACAAACUUGGCACUGUCAGUCCUUUUAAUUUUAGCCAUUUUUGGUGGAAAUGGUGAUGAGUUGCACUUGACGUGAAAUGGCAUGACAGUGUCAAGAGUGGUGAGGGCCAGGGUUUCUGCGGGGCUUGGGAGGCAUAAACCUGUCUUCUGUGUUACCACGAUAUUCCAGUGGGCUCAGGAGAAUAGAGAUGACAAGGAAUCCCAAGGGCCCUCCAAGACUGGCAAAGACGAGACAGCCAUAAAUAAAAUACUAGGCUAAUGGUGAGAUUCCUCGACA
rnacentral:lncRNA from 1 species